AUGCUCCACACUGCUGCUGCUGCCCUGCAGCUCUGUGGGGCUGCUGAGGGAGCUGAGGGAGCUGAGGGAGCUGAGGGUGCUGAGGGAGCUGAGAGAGCUGAGGGAGCUGAGGGAGCUGAGGGUGCUGAGGGAGCUGAGGGAGCUGAGGGUGCUGAGGGUGCUGAGGGAGCUGAGGGAGCUGAGGGUGCUGAGGGAGCUGAGGGUGCUGAGGGUGCUGAGGGUGCUGAGGCUCCUGAGGGAGCUGAGGGUGCUGAAGGUGCAGUGUGGGGGCACCAGCGCCGUUCCCAUGCCGAGGCUCGGGGUGGGGAUGGGAGCGAGCCCCUUGGCGAGGGAAAGAACGAGCUGUUGUCCUGCAGGCAGUUUCGUGCCCACCAGGCUCGGGGGCUGAGGGGCCCCCAGGGAGCUGUUGUUGCCCUCCCCAUGGCUCCCAGUAGCCUCCAUUCUUGCAGGCCGCGAGUGGGUGCUGCCCUGGCAGAGGGACUGGGGUUGGCUCCUCAGCAGCAGCAGCGGUGGGGCCGUGCUCCAUCCACUUGCGUCAAUGCAGACCUUUCCACAGACUCCAGUCGGGGUUGGAUCAAGCCUUGCAUGAUUGUGGCCCUUCAUCUGUUGCAGCCGGGAUACAUUCCUUGAUCGUUUCUGAGUCUGCAAUUAUUUUUAUGCCUGCCCAGUGUCCCAGAGAUGUGAAACGAAGCUGCCAUGCUAUGCUGCUGAGCCCUGAAACUCUACACAGACAUUCAAUUUAAUCUCUUGGAACAGACUGCAUUAAAGUAGUGUCAUCAGUGCACACUUGUGAUAAAAAGACAACAUGAAGAAAGACAGUGAACUAAAAGGCCCUGGUUUUUUUUUUUUUUUUCUGGGGAGAAAAUAGGGUAUCUGUCCCUUCAUUUGUUUCAUGGCUUCCUUGCACAGCCAUUUAAAUUCAGCAGAAGGCUCCAAGUGUCUAAACUUUAUCCUGAGCAUUUUUUUUCAGUGCUGGAAAGGAAUACAGUUAAGUGUCCCAGAGGGAAUUUUAUAGAAAAUGCUGUGUGCAAUGUUAAUGACUUGGGAUGGGGUUGUAGGUUUUCCAUGGAGAGACAGUAGGGAAACAAAUACAGGACUUGAUGAGAAGUGUUCUGCAGGGAUCCACUGCUCCAUGGCUCCAAGGACUGCCAGAAGGAUAAUGAGGGCUUUAACCCAAGGUGCCCCCUUGUGCCUCUGUCCUGCUCCAUACCAGAGCUCUCUGAGUAUCUGGAGCUGGAAGAAAUGACAAACUUCUUGGGUGCCACAAGAGAUUGCAUCAGCAUUACUGAUCCUUACUCGGCUCGUUACUGAAAAUGCAUCAAGCAGCUAUUUGGGUCAGACUGCUAAAUUUGUAGACACGGAGUGUCAAGAAGCCUUUUUGUCAACUUGGUACUGUUUAGUGUUAUUUGUCUUCAAGUUCAAAGCAAUCCUGGCCUCAGACUUGUGAUAUUUUCUGCCCUUUCCCCUUUCUGUUGGCUCAGACCUCUUCCCUUUGAGGUCAACAUCAAAAUAAAGAUGUAUGUUUCCUCA
rnacentral:lncRNA from 1 species